AAGUGAAAGAGAGAGAGAGAGAGACAGACAAAGGGAUUCGGAGAGAGUGAGAACGAGUGGAAACACUUUGAAAGGAUUUGAGUAGAGCUCUUUCUAACUUUUUUUUUUUUUUUUUUUU
rnacentral:ribozyme from 14 species